rnacentral:tRNA from 1 species
GUCUGGGUGGCUCAGUCGGUUGAGCGUCUGACUUGAGCUCAGGUCAUGAUCUCAUGGUCUGUGAGUUCGAGUCCCACAUCAGGCU